AUGAACGCUAGCUACAGGCUUAACACAUGCAAGUCGAGGGGCAGCAUGGUCUUAGCUUGCUAAGGCCGAUGGCGACCGGCGCACGGGUGAGUAACACGUAUCCAACCUGCCGUCUACUCUUGGACAGCCUUCUGAAAGGAAGAUUAAUACAAGAUGGCAUCAUGAGUCCGCAUGUUCACAUGAUUAAAGGUAUUCCGGUAGACGAUGGGGAUGCGUUCCAUUAGAUAGUAGGCGGGGUAACGGCCCACCUAGUCUUCGAUGGAUAGGGGUUCUGAGAGGAAGGUCCCCCACAUUGGAACUGAGACACGGUCCAAACUCCUACGGGAGGCAGCAGUGAGGAAUAUUGGUCAAUGGGCGAGAGCCUGAACCAGCCAAGUAGCGUGAAGGAUGACUGCCCUAUGGGUUGUAAACUUCUUUUAUAAAGGAAUAAAGUCGGGUAUGGAUACCCGUUUGCAUGUACUUUAUGAAUAAGGAUCGGCUAACUCCGUGCCAGCAGCCGCGGUAAUACGGAGGAUCCGAGCGUUAUCCGGAUUUAUUGGGUUUAAAGGGAGCGUAGAUGGAUGUUUAAGUCAGUUGUGAAAGUUUGCGGCUCAACCGUAAAAUUGCAGUUGAUACUGGAUAUCUUGAGUGCAGUUGAGGCAGGCGGAAUUCGUGGUGUAGCGGUGAAAUGCUUAGAUAUCACGAAGAACUCCGAUUGCGAAGGCAGCCUGCUAAGCUGCAACUGACAUUGAGGCUCGAAAGUGUGGGUAUCAAACAGGAUUAGAUACCCUGGUAGUCCACACGGUAAACGAUGAAUACUCGCUGUUUGCGAUAUACUGCAAGCGGCCAAGCGAAAGCGUUAAGUAUUCCACCUGGGGAGUACGCCGGCAACGGUGAAACUCAAAGGAAUUGACGGGGGCCCGCACAAGCGGAGGAACGUGUGGUUUAAUUCGAUGAUACGCGAGGAACCUUACCCGGGCUUAAAUUGCAGAUGAAUUACGGUGAAAGCCGUAAGCCGCAAGGCAUCUGUGAAGGUGCUGCAUGGUUGUCGUCAGCUCGUGCCGUGAGGUGUCGGCUUAAGUGCCAUAACGAGCGCAACCCUUGUUGUCAGUUACUAACAGGUUCCGCUGAGGACUCUGACAAGACUGCCAUCGUAAGAUGUGAGGAAGGUGGGGAUGACGUCAAAUCAGCACGGCCCUUACGUCCGGGGCUACACACGUGUUACAAUGGGGGGUACAGAGGGCCGCUACCACGCGAGUGGAUGCCAAUCCCCAAAACCUCUCUCAGUUCGGACUGGAGUCUGCAACCCGACUCCACGAAGCUGGAUUCGCUAGUAAUCGCGCAUCAGCCACGGCGCGGUGAAUACGUUCCCGGGCCUUGUACACACCGCCCGUCAAGCCAUGGGAGCCGGGGGUACCUGAAGUGCGUAACCGCGAGGAGCGCCCUAGGGUAAAACUGGUGACUGGGGCU
rnacentral:rRNA from 1 species